GAGAUGAAGGACUGGUCGGUUUGCCUCCGCACUUCUGUUAGCUCCAUGUUGAGCUGGAUGACCUUGCGCCAACUCCUCGCCUGAAGGUUCAUAGAGGGGAAAAGUCUUGUUCACCAACAUCCAUUAAUGCUCUUCGGCAAGUGAGCGGAUCGCCUGUAUGCCGACUCAUGGGAACAGCAUAGACCAUCAUGAAUUGAUAUUGGCCAUGAUGUUCAGCUUUGAAUCUCAUCUCUCACCUAGCCACCGACUCGAGCUUGUCAAAAAACUGUGCCUCAACCAUGGAGACCUCAUCGAUGAUGAGGUGUCGACAGGUCGUCCAGUGCUGCAGCACCCCAGGCCUCUGAGCCAGCUCGACGCACUGCUCCAGGGGGGCAGAGCCGGAGCUUAUGCCUGGAAUGAACACGGGUACGGAGGAUAGAAAGACAGAUGGCCAGACGAGACACAAAUGAAUAACACCCAAGCAAAUACUCAAUUCGCACCCUCUACUGUAUAUUGAGAUUUAAUUAAAAACGUCUGUUCAUGUGAAGAGACAUCAGACACCUCAUCCUCCCAUUAUAUUAAAGAUUCAUAAUCUGAAAUAGGGCAUCACACAGACACUGUAACGGAGUCAAAGGCUGCAGCUCUACUUUAAAAAAGUUAGUUAGCACAAAAGAAAAAAUAAAUACAGAGACCUUUUUUCUUUGGAUUGAGUAAGGAUGAAAAGUUUAGCCGAUUGCCAGAACAUUUUUAACUGUUUAAAAUGUUUCAGUCAUUCUCUAAGGAAAAAUAUUCACUGGUGCCAGUUUCCCAAGUGUGAGGAUUUGGUGCUUUUCUCCGUUCUGUAUUAUUGUCAAGUGAAUCUCUGGGCUUCGGACUGUAUGCCAGAUAAAAUGAGCAAUUUGAAGAGGUCACCUUGGGCUCUGGGGAAUUGUGACAGGCAUUUAUUUAUUAUUUAUUUGAAUACUAGAUGAUUAAUCAAGAAAAUAAUCAGCACAUUAAUGAAUAAUGAAAAUAACUGAUGCUGUCCUGCUGAUAAGGAUUCUGCCUCAUGCUUUUCUGUAUUAGGACAGAUGUCAGUCAAUAGCACUGCCUAAUUUCAGGAAAGACCUUCGGUGAAACCAGCAAAUUGACUAAUUAUUUGGAUAACAUACAAUAUGACUAGUUGAUUUCCACAUUUGUGUCAGUCUUACAUAAAAUCUAUUUUGUCUCCUCAGACACAAUGACUGACCGGCAAA